rnacentral:lncRNA from 1 species
AUGAACAAAUGUUGUGGACUUUGUACUUUGUACCAAGAAUCUCCCUGUUCACUGACAGGAACAUAAGUGGAAUGACAAACAGUACAAGAAAGCCCAUUUAGGCACAGCCUGAAGGCCAACGCUUUUGGAAAUGUUUCCCAUACAAAGAGAACUGUGUUGGAAAAAUAGGAGUUGAAGCCGAAUGGCCAAAUUCUAAUAUCAGGAAGUGUACUAUAGUUCAGCUGAUUGAGAAUGGCAAGAAAAUCAUAGUCUUUGUACCCAACGAUGGUUGCUUGAACUUUAUUGAGGAAAAGAUGAAUUUCUGGUUGCUGAAUUUGUCAAAAAGGUCAUACUGUUGUUGACAUUCCUGUAGUCCGCUUUAAUGUUGUCAGAGUAGCCAAUGUCUCUUGGUCCUAUACAAAAGCAAGAAGGAAAGACCAAGAUCAUAA